GCUAACUUCACCUAAAAAAAAAAAAGUUAUGUGAGGAUGCUUGUAAAGAGUUUCAAAGGAAGUAAAAUGGAAUAAACCUACACUGUGGUCAAUCCCUUAGGGUAGAAGCUAAACUGACAAAACUGGAGACAACCCAAAAAUCCACUAGUAGGCACUGGCUGAAUAAAGUGUGGCUCAUUUACAUAAUGGAAGAAUACACAGCUCUACCAUGAAAUAAGGAAAAACUACGUAAACUACUAUCAAAUCUUCAGGAUACAAAAUAAUCUGAAAAAACAAGCAAAGAAAAUGUAUACUGUUUGGUGUUAUUUAUCUACAUAAAUGGUUGGGUUCUGAUCUCCUAAGACUGGCGUCACUACAAGAAGAGACACCGGAGAGCUCUCUUUCUCUCCAUCUCUUUUCCUCUCUCUUGCAAGCACUCCCGCCAGCUGCCCACAAUAUGAGGACAGUGAGAAGACUGUCACCUGCAAGCCAUGAAGCGAGUCCUCACCAGAAAUGGAGCCUGUCAGACCUUGGUCUGAGACUUCUAGCCUCUGGAACUUUCUGAAAAUAAACUUCUGUUGUUUAAACCAUCCACUGUAUGGUAUUUUCCCACGGCAGGUUGAGGUAAUACAGAGCUUUACUGUCAUCCUCAGAAGCAUCAACUGGAUUUGUAUACAUUAUGAUGAAAAAGACCUGAAAAUUUCACACAGAUUAAAUGCUUUCACUUAUUUCUCAGUUUUAUACUAGUGCUUUCUUUAGACUCUUCAAAUUGCAUGUCCUUCCUUAUGUUCCCUGGGCAUUGACUUAUUAGUUCCUGGGUAAAAUUUAACAAAGGCUAUGCCACAGGUCUAGGAUUAGUCAUUUUCACAAUCUUGGAUUUCUCAAUAACUAUGACUACAUUCCCCUUAAAUAUGAGUUCCUUAGAAAAUCUGUUUUUAUUAUUUGGACAUAGUGCCUGGUGAUAAUAGACAGCCUAUGCUUUUUUGUCUUUCCCCUGAACUAGAAUUCAAAUGAAGGAUAUGCUAAACACAGCUGUUGCUGUGUAUAAUGACAUUCAGUAUGUGGAUGCUGCAUCCAGAUUCCAUUUUAAGGCAGCCAUCUGUCCUUUAGCAAGCAAAAUAACAGAAGAUUUAUACCUUAAUAAAAUCACACACAUAAGUGCACCCCACACUCCUUCAUGUGCCCUCCAUGUAAUUUCACAUUUGUUAGUGAAUUUUCUGUAGUAUUUUUCUAGCUUUAAGACUAUUUGAGGUGAAGUUCUGGACCUGCUAAGCCUGAGCACAAGGGUUUUAGCAUAAUAUAUUUGGACUCAUGAUUUUCAGUAAAUCUUCAUAGAUUGACAUGAAUGUCAUGAAAUUUAAAAGAUUAAGAAACAUUCCUUCUCUAUUUUUCCAGGCCUGUACAGACUAAUAUUUGUUUAGCACUGCAGAGCUUAUAAAACCUUCUCCCUUCUUAUUUAAUUUAUAUAUCCAGACCUACCUGCGGAGUUGCUUAAGGUCAGAAAAUCCACUAGCAAAGAAGCCAGGGCUCAAAAUAAUAGGUUAUUUCUCCAAAUUCCUUGGUUUUCUCAUCAUCCUGCACAGUCACCUAUUAAGCUAUGUACUGAAUUAUUCUAUAUUAUUUUACUUAAUUAUUGAUAAUAAUACUUUAUUGAACCUUUAUUUUGUGCCAUGCAUUUUUACUUUAUAUUUUGAAUAAGUAAUUCUGCUUAAUCCUUACAAUAACCUGAUGAUGUAGACACCGUUUUUAAAAAUAUACUCUCUAAUAUAAGAAGUUAUAGAAACAAUUGUCUACAUGCAGAAUAUAUGCCCACAUUCUUUCUCAAAUACAAAUGAACAGAAUCACUUUAUUUUUCUUUUUGUAGUAAAGAAAAUUUAAUAAUUUUUUAAAGUUAGUGUAACAAAUUUACUAUGUUUUAAAAAGUAAAGUUUUAAAACUGUAUAAACUCAGAACACUAAUUUGUUUGCUAAUUAAUUUGCAUUUCUAAAUGAUACUGUCCUCUUCUUUUAACUUCCUGUUAACUCAAGUUAAUAUUUGACUUUUCUAUUUGACUUUCAUAAUUCUGAAGCAUAAAAGUAUAAAAAUAUUGGGUAGGAACUAUUUUUCAUCCUCCAUAUAAUAAAACAUUUCAACUAGUUGACCUUUCACUCAGUAAGUAAUAUUGAGUGUCUAUCAUGUGCUGGACACUGUUAUGAGCACCAGAACUAAAGCAGAGAAAACACAGACCAAAAAACCUCCCCUCAUACAGUGUCUUCUCUAGUGGAGUCAUCGAUUGUUUUCAUGCAUUACUAUUCUCUUGUCAUUGUAUGAAAAGCUGGCAUAUCUUUCUGUUGGUGAUCUGGAAGGUGAUUGGGUCAUUUAUAAACAUGUGUAUUCUAGAGCCCUGCUACUCAAAUUGCAACCUACAGACCACCAGCACUGACAUCAUUUUGUUAGAGAUGCCAAACCUCAGGGCCCAUAACAGAUCUACUGAAUACAAAUCUACAUUUAAACUAGAUCCCAAGGUAAUUUUUGUUCACACUGAAAUUUAAGAAGUGCUACUGUAUAGGUAUUCGAUAAAUGUUUUCACCUGAGAUAUGUUUAUCUCUAGGUGGUCCUCAAACCACCUUUGUGAUAUACAAAUGCAUCAAAAUGUGUCUUCAAUUUGACCAUAACACAUUCAGUCUCUCUUACAGUUGCAAAGAGCCAACAACUAAUGAUUUUUUUAUUGAAUGAAUAAAAAAUGAUCAAACAAAUUUCACUUAUACUAUAUAUUUAAAAAGUAACUUCAAUUAAGUUAGCAAUUUUGAAUUAUGCAAUUUAUUACAAUGGGGAACAAUAUACUCUGUUCACAUAAAAUCCUUUUUUUAUCUAUACACUGUAGAACCUGAUAUAUAAUGAAUGCUAAAGCUGUCAAAAGUUAAGUAUUCCCCUAAACUUAAAAAUAUAGACAUCUAUGUUACGUUCCUGUCUACCUGUAUUUCUUGACAUUGUUAAAAAAAAAAGGAUAAGCUUUUUUUAAACUAAUAUACCACUGCUUCUACAGAAAUUGACGUAUAACCCACAGAAAUAUAUUCGCUGUUUGCCUUACCUUUUGCACUCUACAUACCAAGCAAACAAAAUUUGCACACACUUGCACUAGCAGCUUUGCAUCUAUCUAUUUUUAGGACAGACAGCUACAUCUUUCUCUCUGCACUGCAGGGAAACUGAACAUUUGUGGGAAAGUGUAGUGCAUUAAUCCUGUUUAAUAUUCCAGGACUCACACAGACAAUUAAUUGUGUACUGAAAAGGCAGACUAAUAAAUUUUUCUUCUUCAAAACACAGUAAAUAAGUUUAAUUGUAUUUUUCUCACAAACUGUUGUAAGAUCAAAUAGAUAAAUCAAAUAAAUUGUGAAAAUGACCAAUGUUUGAAUGUCAUAUUCUUUCCUUAUUAUAUUUUUUCUUCCAUGUGUAAUUUGCUUAUUGUAAUCAAUUUUUGAAAAGUUGAAAAAAAAGUGCAACAAAAUGUAUAAAUUAUAUGUGUUCUAUGAUUCUGCACCAUGAAAAUAUAUGUAACUUUUUAUCUGUGGCAUGAUUAUGAAACCUUUUGAGUGUAAAUCUGUUUUUUUAACUUUUUAUUUUGUAAUAAAUAAAGACCUAGAGAAGAUAGCAAAGAGGGGAAAAGACAGUCCCAUAUAUCCAUCACCUGGUCCCAUCUUAGCUUUCCCUAAUACUAGCAUCUUCAUAACCAUGGGACAAUAAUCACACUUAAGAUACUGGCAUUGAUAUACUGCUACUAAUUAAGCUACAGACAUUGUUCAGAUUUUCUCAGUUUUUCUACUUAUGUGUUUCCUAUUUUUAUGUUUAGGAUCAAAUCUAAGCUAUCAUAUUAUGUAUAGUUGGCAAGUAUUCAUUGUCUUCUCUAAUUUGUGACAUUUUCUCCAUCUUUGUUUUUCAUGGCCUGGCUUUUUUUUAAAGAAUACUUGCAGUUGUGUAAUUAAAUGUCCUUCAAUUUAUUUUUGGCUGCUGUUUUCUCAUAUUAGAUGUAGGGUAUGCAUUUUGGGGAAGCAUAGCAUAGAAAUGAUAUGCCCUUCUCCUUCCCUUCUUCUUCUUUGUGUCAGGGAAUACAUGAUAAUCACUGUCUUACUACUGGUAAUGUUAACCUUGAUAUCUUGGUAAAAGCAGCAUCCAUUAGGUUCCUUCUCUCCACUGUAGAGUUGCUUUUUUUAAACCUGCUGUACUCUAUUAGAAGUGAGAAAGUAAGUACACAGCCCAUACCCAAAGACAGGGAAAUCAAGCUCACCUCUUGAAGGAACCAUAGAAGUCACCAUAUUAGCAAAUAUUUUAGAGAAGAAGCUUUAAGGACAUGCAAAUAUCCUAUUUCUUCUUAAAGUUUCUUAAGUUUCUUCCACUAAUUCUAGCAGUCGUCUCUUGCAUGCGGCAUUGUUUACUGUGAUGCUUUUGGGGUGAUUUUUGUACUCCUUCACUCCUACAUGUAUUCGAAUUCUUCUGGAAGUUAAAGUUGCUCCUUUCUCCUGACUUAUUUAUUGACUUAUUUUCUUAUAUCGCUAUAGAUUCAAGAGAAUUUUAUUCUUUGAGUUAUAAUCCAAGACUGUCAUUAUGUACUUUAUGGCUCAAAUUGUUCCUGAGUUAAUCUGUGGGAACUUUUUCUAGUUGACUUCUGUGUGGUGGUCCUCCUGCUCUUCUGCCUCCUUCUCCUCCUCCUCUUCCACUUCCUCCUCCUCCUCCUCCAUUGGCUUCUGGGUGGUGAUCCUCCUGCUCCUCCUCCUUUCUCCUCCCUCUUUUCCCUCCCCUUUCUUCCUCCUCCCGUUCUCCUUCUCCUUCCCCUUCUCUCUCCUCUUUCUCCUUUUUCUCUCCUCUUGUCAAUUAGUAUAUUUUAAAGAUUCUACCUUACCUCCUGGCUUGGCAACUUGUUUUGGGUUUGUCUUGUCUUUCCCUGCUACAACCCUAGCACCAAUAGUUUCUCCAAGAAACCCUGGUUCAAUUAAUUAGAGAAUUAUAUUUAGAAACUAUAAUAUGGGUUCUAGGUGUUUUCUUUGCUGGUGGGGAGCCUGCUUCUAGGUUCUCCGUGUUUUGGACUAAGAAAUGUAUAUAUGUAUACUAAGUCAUAUAUAUACACAUAUCUGUGCCUAUUUCUGUAUCUAUGCAUAUAUUAUAAUAAACGUGUUCAUACUGAUAUCUCCAAGUUCAACCCAGCACUACAUCUAUCAUUCCCCUUUAUUUACAACCUCUUUCUCCUACAGUAAAAAAAUGUGGCUCACAUUAUCUAUAUUAUAUUUAAACAUUUGUUCAACAAUAAUAUGUUAAGUAUAGUGGUUCAGAAUUGCUGAUCUAUAACCUUUAGGCUAUUUUUUUUCACAAAGGCACAGUAUUUGGAUACAAUCAUACUUGCCUUUUGUCUUACGGUAUCUAGUAAAAAAAAACCACCAUUUUAUGAGUUACUUGAGGUAGCUUUUUUAUUCUCCUCUUGCUUCACUGUGAUUAUAUCACACAUUAGCAAUAUAGUCAGAUAUAUUGGCCAAAGUCUGUAUUUCGUAUUAGGUUUCUCCGGUCAAUUGGGUUUCUCAAAACUUUGUAUACAGUAAAAUUCACUCUUUUGGGUGGAUAGUUCCGUAUGUUUGACAAACGCAUUGAUAUAUGUGUCUACCACCACAAUAUCAUACGGAAUAACUUUAUUAUCUCCAAAAGGCUCUUGUGUUGCUUCUUUGUAGUCAACUCGUCUUCCUGCAUUCAAUUCUUAGCAAUCACUGACUUGUUUUCUGUCUCUAUAGUUUGCCUUUUCAGAAUGUCAUAUAAUUGAAAUCAUACAAUUGGGGCUUGUUCCUUUCAUGGUAAAAUGCAUUGAAAAUGCAUCCAUGUUGUGUAAAUCCAUGUUAAUUAUUUUUUAUAGCUGAGUAACAUUUCACUGCAUGGAUGUGUCUACGUGUGUUAAUCAUUCAUCUUUUGAAAGUCAUUUGGGUUGUUCCCAGUUUCAGUUAUGAAUAAAACUCCUAUAAAUUAUUGCAUACAGACUUUUGGGUGAACAUAUUUACUAGGUUAAUGUAUUAGUCCAUUUUCACACUGCUGAUAAAAACAUACCCAAGACUGGGUAAUUUAUAAAGAAAAAGAGGUUUAAUGGACUCACAGUUGCACUUGGCUGGGGAGGCCUCACAAUCAUGACAGAAGGCAAAAGACAUGUCUUACAUGGCAGCAGACAAGAGAAAAUGAGAGCAAAGUGAAUGGGGAACCUGUUAUAAAACCAUCAGAUCUCAUGAGACUUAUUUACUACCAGAACAGUAUGGGGGAAACCACCCCCUCUAUUCAAUUAUCUCCCACCAGGUCCCUCCCACAACAUGUUGGAAUUAUGGGAGCUACAAUUCAAGAUGAGAUUUGGGUGGGGACACAGCCAAACCACAUCAGUUAAAUAACUUGUGGUGAAAUUACUAAGUCUAUGGUUAAGUGUAUAACUUUAUAACAACUAUGAAAACCACCAGUCUUUAUUCCAACGUGGCGAUACCAUUUCUCCAUCCCUUGUGGCAACAUAUGAGAGUUCCACUUCUCAGCACCUUGAAAAGCUCUUAUUUUCAGGUUGGUUUUUUUUCUUUUGGUUUUAGACAUUAUAAUAUAUGAACAGUAAUAUUUCAAUAUGGUUUUAAUUUCAAUUUCCUUGAAGAUUAAUGACGUGGAGAAUCUUUAUGUUUAUUUGCCAUCCAUAUAUGUUGUUUUGUGAAGAGUCUGUUCAGAUUCUUGCAAGUAAUGUCAUAGGAAUUGUUUGUUUUAUAAUGGUAAGUUCAACAAUUUUUUAUAUUCUUUUAGCCUAUUCUAGAGAGAAUUCCUUCAUCAGGCAUAAGGGCUGCAAAUAUUUCAUCCCAGGUUUUGGCUUGUCUUUUCAUUUUCAUAACAGUAUCUUUCACAGAGAAAAAGUUUUUAAUUUUUAUACAAUCUGGCUUAUCAUUUUUAAGGAUUCUUCUUUUACUUUCAUAUCUAAAAUGUCUUUGCUGAACUCAAGGACAUAAAGAUUCCCCCUAUGUUAUCUUCUAAAAUGUUUGUAGGUUUACAUUUAGACCUAUGUUUCAUUUGAAAUUAAUAUUGUACAAGAUGUGACAUAAGGUUUUUAAGGUUUUUGUUGUUCUUCACUGAAUUACCUUUAGAACUUUAUCAAAAACAAGUACAUUUUUAUCUGUGUAAGUCUAUUUCUGGACUCUAUGUUCUUUCUAAUAAUGAAUGUGUCUAUCCUUGUGCUGAUAUGUACCAAACUGUCUUGAUUACUGUAGCUUUAUAGGAAGUCUUAAGAUCAGAGAUGACAAACCUCCAAUUUUAUUUUUCUUUUUUAAUACUGUUUUGGCUCUGCCUUAAUAUAAACAUAUUAUAACUAACAUAAAUGUUAGUGUCAUGUUGUUAUAUUCACAAUUUUAUUACUAGGAUGUUAAUUGGAAUAGAAUUAAAUCCAUAAGUAAAAUUAAGGAGAAUUGACAUCACCACAUUUUCAAUCCUCUAACUAAUGAACAAUUUACAUCUCUUAAUUUGUUUGCCUGUUUAAUUUUGUUAACUAGUGUUUCAUAGUUAACACAGAUACUGUAUUUUUUGUUAAACUGAUAACUUUUCUAUUUUGGUGUUAUACUAAAAAGGUAUUCUUUAUUUGAAAAUUUGAUUAUUCAUUGCUAAUAUAUGAGAAUAUAAUAGACAUUUAUAUUGACAUUGUAACAUAGAAAAGUGUAUUUUAUUUUUUCUUGCCUUAUUGCAUUUUCUAGGACUUCCAGUAAAAUGUUUAUAGGAAUGGUAAGAAAGGAAAACAUUGCUUUGUUCUCAAACUUGGGGUGGGGGACAUUCAUUAUGUUAACAUUAAGUAUUAUGCUAGCUAUAGGCUUUUUGAAAAUUUUAUUAGCUUAAUAUCAUUUUCUUUUCUUGAUUAAUAGUUUCUAUUAUGAAUGGAUAUCAAAUUUUGUCAAAUAUUUUCUGCACCUAUUAAGAUUAGCAUUCGGUUUACCUUCAUUCAUCUAUUAACAUGAUGAAUACAAUUACUAAUUGCCAAAUAUUGAAGCAAACUUGUAUUCCUAGAUGAACCCAGUUGUUCAUUAUUUAUUUUUAAUUUUUUUAUUUUUAUUUUUAUUUUUAUUUUUUGAGACGGAGUCUCACUCUAUCCCCCAGGCUGGAGUGCAAUGGCGGGAUCUCUGCUCACUGCAACCUCCACCUCCCAGGCUCAAGCAAUUCUUCCGCCUCAGCCUCCCAAGUAGCUGGGAUUACAGGGACCCGCCAUCAUGCCCGGCUAAUUUUUGUAUUUUUCGUAGAGACAGGGUCUCACAUGUUGGCCAGGCUGGUCUUGGAAUCCUGACCUCAGGCGAUCCACCCACCUCAGCUUCUCAAAUUUCUAGGAUUACAGGCGUGAGCCUUCACACCUGGCCCACAUUUUUUGACUUGGUCUAAUAAAAUUUCAUUGAAGGUUUUGUCUAUAGUCAUUACAGAUAUUGGUAUGUAGUUUUCUCAUUUUGAAAUGUCUUUUUCUGGUUUUGGUAAGAUGGUAAUGGUGACCUGGUAAAAGGAGUGAGGGAGCAUUUUCUCCUCGCCUGUUAUAUUAGAAGAGAUUAUGUAGAAUUAGUAUUGUUUCUUCAUUACAUGUUUGGUAGAACUCACCAAUAUAACCACCUACGUUUUCUCUUUUGGAAGGAUUUUAAUGAAUAAUUCAAUGUAUUUAAAGCACAUAUAUAAAGCUAUUCAGGCUAUUUAUUUAUCCUUGAGUAUGUUUUGAUAGUUGUGCCUUUCAAGGAAUUUUCUUUUCACCUAAGUUGUCAAAUGUCUGGGCAUAGUGUUGUUCUUAGUAUUCCCUUUGUAAUCAGCAGAGGUGAUACUUGUUUUAUUCACGACAUUGUAUCCUCUCUUUUUUCUUGGCUAAACUGGCAGGCUUAUCAAUUUUAUUGAUCUUUUCAAAAAAACAAUGUUUGUUUUCAUUGAUUUUCUCUAUUAUUUUUCUGUGUUCAAUUUCUUAGGUUUAUGUGUACUACGUUCAUUUUCUAUUUGCUUUAGGGUUGAAUGGUGCUUUUUUUCUUUAGUUUUCUAAAAAAGAGUAUUAUAUGUAUUGAUUUUCAAGUGUUUCUUCUUUUCUAAUAUAUGCAUUUAAUGAUAUAAAUUUCCCUCUAAACACUGCUUUUACUGCAUCUCACAUAUUUUGCUACAUUUUCAUUUAGUUCAAAAUAUUUUUAACAACCUUGACACUUCUUCUUAACAUGAGUUAAGUGUGUUGUUCAAGUACAAAAUAUUUUGCAGUGUUCUACCCAUCUUUCUGUUACUGAUUUAUAAUUUUAUUCAAUUAUGAUUAGAGAACAUAGUUUGCAGAUUUUUUUGUAUUUUAAAAUUUUUAGUUUGUUUUAGAGGUUAGAAUGUUAUCUGUCCUGUGCAUGUUCCCUGUGAGCUUCAAAUUAAUGUGAUUUUUUUGGUGUUUGAUGGGUGAAGUGUUUUGUAAAUAUCAAUUAUGAAAUGUUGGUUAAUAGUGUUUUGAGGUCAUCAUACCCUAAUUUUCAGCCUACUUCUUUAUUAAAUACUGAGAUAGACAUAUUGCAUUUUCUACCUAUAAUUUUGAAUUUCUCUAUUUCAUCUUUAAGUUCCAUUCUUGUCUCAUAUUUUUAAAACUCUUUAAAAAUUUAAGAUUGUUAUGUCUCGUUGGAGAAUUGACCUUUUUAUCAUAAAGUAAUCUUCCUUGUUACCUCUGAUAAUGUUUAUUGUUUUGAUGUUUGUUUGAUAUUAACAUAGACACUCUAAUUUUCUUCUUCUCCUUCUUCUUUUUUUUUUUUGAGACAGGGCCUGCAGUAGUGUGAUCAUGGAUCACUGCAGCCCCUACUUCCCAGGCUCAAGCUAUCCUCCCAUCUCAGCUUCCUAAAUAGCUGGAACUACAAACAUGUGCCACCACAUCUAGCUAUUUUUUAAAAAAAUUUUUGUAGAGAUUGGGUCUCACUAUGUUGCCCAGGUUGGUCUUGAACUCCUGGGCCCAAGUGAUCCUCCUGUCUCAGCAUCCUAAAGUGCUGAGAUUACAGGCAUAAGCCACUACACCCGGCUAUAAUUCUAUUUUUUAUUAUUUUGUGCAUUAUGUACCUUUUCUAAUCCAUUUGCUUUUCAUAUUUUUACGCAUUUAUACUUAAUAUGGUUUUCCUGCUGAGAGCAUAUACUUGCGUCUCACAUUUUUAUCCCAUUUGACAAUGUUUUAAUUUAAACUGGUGUGUUUAGAACAUUUGUAUUUAAAGUAAAUUUGAUAUAGUUGGAUUAAAAUAUACUAAUCUGGUAGGUAAUUUUUAUUUGUUCCUUUUGUUCAUUGUUAGUUUUUUCUUCUUUUCUCAUUUUUACAGAUUAACUGAGCAUUAAGAAAUUCUAGCUUGCUUUGCUCUGUUGGCUUACAGUACUUUAAAUCAGAUUUAGUAAAUUUAUUAGGGUUUCUAAUAUGCAUUUUAAAUUAAUCUGAUUCUAUGUUUCUAUAACAUUGCACUAUUUUAUGUAUGGGUUAAAGAACUUACACUAAAUUUUUUCAAUCACCCUCCCCUAUCUUUGUGAUGUCAUUGUCAAAUAUUUAAAUUUUACUUGUGCUAUGAACAUAGAGUACAUCAUUUCUGUUUUUUUCUCAGUUUUUGUUUGUCUAGGACAAUAUUUAUUUCUCCCCUUUUUUGAAAAACACAUUUUUGCUGGACACAGAAGUUAGGUCUGAGCGUGUGUGUGUGUGUGUGCGUGUGUGUUCAUUUAGCACGUUUAAAAGGACACUUCAUUGUCUUCUUGGUUGUGUGGAACGUUUGAGAAGUCUGCUGUUAUUUUUAACACUGCUUUUAUGUAGGAAAUAUGUCUUUUUCUGAAUGCCUAAGAGAUGUUCUAUUUGUCUUUGACCUUUGGCAGUUUCAACAUGGCACAACUAGGCGAGGUUUUUGUUUGUGUUUUUGCUGUUGCUUUAUUUGUUUUUAUUCUGCUUGGUGUCCUGAGCUUCUUGAAUCUGUCGUUUGGUGUCUGGCACUGAUUUUGCAAAAUUCUCAAAGUGUAAUUGUUUUCAGCCCUUUCUGUCUUUCUUCUCUUUCUGAGUGUCAACUAUGUGUAUGUUAGUAUAUAUAAUAUUGUCCUACAACUUUUCCUCUUUGCUUUUUUUAUUUUUCCUUCUCUCUUUUCACUCUUUGUGUUUUAUUUUCAGCAAUUUCUAUUAGGGUUAUCCUCAGGUUUACUGACUUUUCUCUUGAUUGUGUUGAAUCUACUAAUGAGUGCUUCAAAACCAUUCUUCAUCCCUGUUACUGUGCUUUGACUUCUAGAAUCUUCAUUUGCUUCUUUCUUAUAGUCAAUUGAUUGCUGAAAGUAUCUUUCUGGUCUUUCAUACUUUAUUCCACUUUUAUUAAAGCUUUUAAUAUGUUAAUCACAGUUACAUUACAUUCUCCUUCUGAUUGUUCCAACAUUUUUGUCAUAUAUUAAUCCUGUAAUUAUUUAUUUCACUCAUUAGAGUGUUAUUUGUUAUUUAUCUUUUCAUAUGCCUCUAAAUUUUUAGUUGACAGUCAGAUACCUUGUAUGGGAAUUUAGAGACUGAGCAUUUGAUGUUUAAAGCAUACUUCUUCUGCUAAACCUUUAUUAUACUUGCUUGCAUUAACGUUUCAGGAAUUGGGCUGAGUUUAAAGUUUGUUGUUGUUAUGUGUAUUCUCAGUAGAACACAGGCUAAAGGUAAUUUACUUAAUCAUAUAAUUUCAUUUCAAUUCCUGUUGUAUAUAAUAUGAUUUAUUUCAAAUUAUUAAGAUUUAUGCAAACUGCUUUCUUUUCUUUUGUGAAGGAUGUUAUCUUUGUAAGUGUACAAACUGUGUUUCUGAGUGAGUACCUUUGGGGGUAUUCACAAUGUAGAUUUUGUACUUAUCCUGAGAUAUCUGAAACAAUCAUACUAACUUACUGUAUUCAGAUAAAAUAGGUCCACCAAAAAUUUAACUGUUAUACUUUAUUUAUGACAUUACACAAUUUUCUAGUAGGCAAUUUGAAUGCUUAUGAUUCAUGUCCUAAAGGAAAAUAUUUAAAUGUAAGAAAAUAUUUUAAAAUAAUUUAAGUCAAUUAGUCUAUAAUGCACAAAGCAAAAUCUUCUUUAUAUACCUAAAUUAGCCAAUAUUUUAUUAAACUGUCAUAGAAUAAUAGCCUAUACCAUUAUGUCACUUGUAAAACUCUAAUUUUGCCUAAUAAAUAAAAUGUCUUUUAGAAAAUGCAUUUGACUAUAUCCUUGAAUAUAAAAAUUAUCUUGCUAAGUUUAUUAUUCUUUCAAAAAAUUACCUUUAUUUAAAACUAUUGUUAAAUGUUUCCUAGGAGUGCUGUUAAAAAGUGAUGGGAAUUAAAAACAAAUAAUCCUCAGGGGUAGAAUAUUCAAAGAAGCAAGACAUUAGCAUACUUCACAUUUUAAUUGUUUUUUUGUUAAGUAUUAGUGAUUAGUGCCACUGAAUCUGAAUCUAGGUCAAAGCCUAAAAGGUUUCAGAUGUAAAAGACAAAAGGGAAAAAUAACUGAACUAAUGUUUAUUUAGAUAUCCCAAACAUUUAAUUUCUAAAUAUAAUGAAUGUCUAUUAAAAUGUAUUUAAAAUGGAGCAAUGAAAAAUGUAAAGAGAAUUAAAACAAUUUUACAUUCUCCUUCAUCACCAGUAACUUCCACCAAUAACACUAUGCCCUGUAUUUUGGACUGCCUUUAAAAAAAUGUUUAACAUUAUUAUGUUAUGUGUUUACAUGGACAAUCAACAGUUUAGGCUGAUUGACAGGUAUGGCAAUGCAAAACAAAACACUACAUGAUUCACACAAUGCUUGUUUGCUAUGGGUUCUACUUAUUUUUCAGGCAAUAGCUCUAGGCUAAAUUUUGGCCAAGUUGAAGUUUGUUUUCAAUUCCUUCAUUUUCCUAGAUACAGUUAAAUAAUAAAAUUGUCUUUAUAAUCGUAAUUAAUAAUAAUCACAUAUAUUUUAAGCCCUGGAAUUAAAAAACAAUUAGCCCCAAAUAAUAAACUUUCAUUGUUGAAACUGCAUAACAGUUUAAGACCAGAAAUAUUAGAGUCCUUUUCAUUUUACCACAUAGGAUGGAUCUACCUAUAAUUAAUAUCAUUGUAAAUACAGUAAUGCUGAAGUACUAUUUUACACACGUGAAGACACUUCAAGAUAUCUUGGAAUACAAUUGUUUUUAGUUGAGACAAAAAAAAUUCAUGUUUCAAUACCAUGUAGACAAAAACAGUUUACAUAAACACAAACAUUUACAGCCACAAUAAUGACCAAAUAAAUCAAACUAAAUAUUUUGUCCAAAGCUUUUGGUUUGGAGGAUAUUUCUGAUAAAAAUUCCAACUAAAAAUUGCUGUCAAUAGACUCUUUUAAAAAGAUUGUGAAAACUGGGUAUAUUUGAGUUUUAUUCAAUUUUAUUAAAACACAAUACUAUUAGCUUUUUAAGGUAAGAAUGCUAGUUGAAGUAUAAUUGCAAAAAGCCCAGAAUGAAUUUAUCUGAUAAGCAGUCUCCAUAUAUAAACAGUUUGAGUAAUAAAAAACGAAAACAAUAGCUUAGAAGUAUUGAAGUCUUAGUAUAGUAUACUAGAGAGAAGUCCACUGGUUACAUUUUGGGGUUUUAAAGAAAUAGUAUCACAAUGAUAAUUUUUCUUUAGAAAGCAGUAUUUGUCAAGCACAAGUGAAUAAUAAUUAUAAUUAACAUUUGUCAUGUCAUAUUUUUCAGAAUUAAAUAUAAGAUUGAGCUGACCUUUGAACAAAAACAAACACAUAAACAAAACCAUUUAGAGCCUCACAGAUGAAUAAUCCACAGAAAAGAAUGAUGCUGAUAUUCCUGAUCAGAAUGCCACUAUAAAUCCAAAGGAUGCAUAUCCUGAACUGAAUACAGAGAUCACGGCAACUGUCAACCAAAUAAACUAAAUGGCAGUGGUAUGCAAGACGGGGAAUGGGUUGUGUUGUGGGUGAUGGGGAUAUAGGAAUGAACAAGACAAACAGUAAACUUGUCUUUAAUAAGCUUAUAUUCUAAUGGCAGGAAACUAAAUUAUCAAAGAAACUAUUCAAUCAUUUUAGGUACAGUGUACCAUGACAGGCACAAAUAGGAUAAUGUGUUAGAGAGAGACUCAACGAAUGAGAAGCAGCUUGAACUAGGGAAUGAACAAGAUUCUUCUAGGAAUUGAUGAGUUUGAUCUAAAUGACAAGAAGAAAACACUCAUGAAACUGUUGCAGGACUUUCCUUAGUUCGGCUAAAGACAGGUUUCUUCUCCAUUCCACAGCCAUGAAAAUUUAGGCUCGCAGACGGUUUAAAGGGUGAGCAAAGCAGGGUUUUAUUGGGCGAAAAGGGGAAAAAAGAGUGGGGGAAACAGGGAUCCUCAGCAAGGCCAGAGUCCCCUGCUAGAGAAUUUCCCACUUGCUGUUGGAAUCCCUGGUUUCCAGGGAAGGAAGAGGAGGGGCCAGGCAGGCCAUGCUGCAAAGGGCGUGAACUUCCCGAGGCUCCACCUCAGUGGGUAGGAUGGCUAGAGUUUCUCCGAGGACCUGGAGUUUCUCUGAGGACCCCCUCCCACCUGGCUGUCUCACUUCCCCCUCUAAAGAAGUACAUCUAACUGCCAUUAGAUUAAGGAUAAGGAUGAAGACUGAUCUUAACUGCUUCCUGCUGACAGGGGGCACUGUUUUGGGGAAAUGGGUCAGAGUUUUCCUAGAGGCCUAUUUAAGGGCUCCCAGCAGGAGAGGUCAUUGUCAGAGCCUCUGGUUGCAUGACUGCUUGGAGUCUGAUGGCCUGAAGGCAAGAACAGACAAACUGGGUUAUUAGAAAACGUAUCAAAACGAAACAAGGGGAGGGCUAACGACAGCUCUAAAAUUCUGAGGUAUUUUACCAGUUUACACAGGGAGAGAGAGGCCAAAAGCACAACUGGUAAAACAAAACAAAACAAACAAACAAACAAACAAAAACUUUACUCUUUUGCUGUUGCCUUGGGCUUUUGGGUUUCCGUCCCCUGACCUCAAUCCUACGCCAACCAGUGUUAAGUUUUGGGCAAUUAACUCUUUCCAGUUUGGCAAAUGCAUCUGAGGGGAGUGUCUCAUAGUACGGAAACAUGGAAACAUAAUUACCUAUUAGUGAAAGGAGAACUGAGGAGGAGAAAGGAAAAAGAAGGCGUUUUAUUCAAAGGAGUCCUAGCGGUUCAGGAUGCAUUUGAAAGGGGUACAGACUGAAGAUGAAUGGCUACCCAUCUAGAAAGAGGGGAGCAGCAUCCCUGGUUCCCCUCUCUUCCUAGCAGAUACACAGGGUACGUGAGGGAGAGAGAGAAGAGUGUCCUCUUUCCAUCUUCCAUCCUUGCAUCCCCGAGUUCCAGUGACCUUGGCAGGUCUCAUCAUGAGGGCCAAAGUGGCUUGCACUCAUGAAGCAGGGAGGUCCUAGAGAAUAGGAAGUAUCUGCUCUCAUCUAUGUCUCUUUCCCACCUACUGUCAGUAGCCUUGGAGUUCCCUAGACUUCAUUUAUGCCAUAGAUAUUAACGUGGCCUUUAUCCAUGAAACAGGAAGCUUGGGGUUGGCUUAAUUGGCAGGAAUCAGCCAUGCUCACCUGCACGGUGCCUUGUAACCUCUGUUGUCAUCUGCCUCUGGAUCUUUUAGAUCCAGUUUUCUUUCCUAGGGCUUUGCCCUGAAGCUCAGAAUUGAGUUUGGGACAAAAAUGUGUCUUGGGGCAGUUGCAUGGACCCCUUAUCAUAAGCCGAAUGCUAAGCUGAAACUGUGGAACUGAGUCCUCCUCCAACAAGGGAGACAAAGGGAUACCUUGUGACAUAACCCAGAUAACUGGUAGCUAUAGUUAUGCUUGCUAGGAUUUGGGGGCAUGGUGCUUUGCUUUGGUUAGUUCCCUUGGUCUUACUUUCCCAAAAAGGAAACCUCUGGGUGAUCGGCACCCUAUUUAUUCCAUCACCUGGAAGGAUUUGCAGGAUAAUUGCUCAGAACUAGAAUAUUGAUCCUCAUUUUCACAUUUCCUAUCCUCUUGUUCAUUCUGAGCUGCAGCCAGAGAUUGCUGGUUGGUUCACAGGAACAAGCAGGGUUAGUCUAAAAAUGUAGGUAAAAACUGAAAAACAACUGGUGAGUUUAGAAUUGAAUGAUAAUGUAUGAUCAAUUUUGAUACAUGAUUUCUCUCUUUCUAGUCCUCAUGUUUGUUAAUAAAAGACAUCAUCAUAGGACUGAGUGGUUUGCAUUUAGUUUUAUACUUGGCCUUUUUAUCUGCAUAAAGUGCAGCAAGAAUAAUCAUUUCUACAUAGGCCUUUUAUAUUGGCUUUCAUGGAAUUCUUUUCCACAAGGAAUCUCAGAUAAAACCUUUUAAAGCCAAGCAUGGGUUUGUAUCCUUAAAUACUUGUGCGUUGAGUGAUCCUCUCCUCUUAAGGUCACAAGAUAAACUUGGAGCUUCUAGACCUGUUAGAAAGUGACAUUCUUUACUGACCACAGGUCAGGAACUCUGUACAGGGAUUGUGCAGAUGAAGGUAUGAGGCCAGUCUCCCAUGGGGCUUUUAUUGGCUCUGUAGGUAGAGUUUGACUCCUUAAAGGGAAGCAUACCCUUCCAGUCAAAGCCUUGGUAACCAUUUUUUCCAAUUGUGUCCUGUUGCAAAAGAAAAAUAAAUUCUUAUUGCACUGAUGCAAACAGCUAUAUUGCCAUAAGUUAAGAGUACUCACAGAUAGGUUCUAAAUUCUGGAGGAACCAGGCAGAGAGAAACAAACAUGCUCCAAAUUUUGAUCACAGGAGUAUAUAACUUAUGUAAUUAUUAAAGGCCAUAAACCAUUCAAAAUAAGUUCACUUGACUCUGAAAAAACAAAACGAGGAUCAGAAAUAUUCCAAGCAAUGGUUCAAAAGGUUGCUUCAGCUUUCUAAGUUCAGUUCAUUUAGUUAACUCUUGUUUUACUGGAUAUUCAUGAACAUUGCAGCUCUUCAUGAAUCCUAUACAUUUUCCUUUAUGUCAAUGUUAAAAUUUCUAAAGUUAUCGGAAACCUGAUUGUCUCAAGUGCAAUCAGAAAUUAUGUUUGAGAGCACCUCUCAGUGUCCUAUAGCUCAUUAUAAACCAUCUUUUGAAAAGGAUUACGACAUGACAACAAUUGUCUGUGAAUAGCAAAAUAUCCACAGUAGUUACAGUUAGAAACAUGAUUGACAAAGAAGUUUGGUUAUCUCAGUGGUUUACAAUAACUUAAACAUAAAAACCUUAAUUAUAAUUCAUAGCACAUACUCAGACAUUAGAAUUUUAGAAAUCCCAUACAAUUUUGUCAUGUAUAUUAGCAUUAUUCACCAAGAUAUAACCUAAAGAAGACUGAGCAUCAUUUUGGCAAUUCCAUGUACUUAAACAUGUUAAAUAAUCCUAUUUAACCUCCCUUUUCUGAACACUUCAUGGGUCCUCUGAAGCAUUCAAAAAGCCAGGUGCCAGAGAAGACAAUUUUGAAACUGAAGUUUUAUUUUGGGAAGGCUGUUAAAUACUUAAGGUUUAAAACACUUGAUAUUAUAAAAUAGAAUUCCAGAUUAUCGUAAGUUAUUUUGCCAAAAUCAUGACUCAGAAAUUUUAAAGAAACAAAGACCUUUUAUAACCCUUUACAAAUUUUGCCAAAGAGCAGAUUAGAACCGUAGGAAAACCUUGUUAUGCUUUUAUUUCAAUGCUCAAUUUACAGAAAAACCAUAUAAUACCCUUUUUAAAAUUUAGUCAAUAUGUUCACACAGAGAGUCUCUUCUGCAAGAUUAUUUUCCACAAUUCUUCUACCACUUCUUUGAACUUUCAGCUUUUUCCUAAAUUAACUCAAAACAAUCCUUUGACCCUAGGCAAAGAUUUUUAUUUCCAUCCCUUCUUAUAACCUUUUACUAAAAAACACAUUUUACUGUUCUUACACACCUUGCAUGUAAAUCUAUUUUCAGUAGUUUCAAUCACAUGUUAUAAUGGUAACCCUUAACAAUUGUUAACUUUAAGGUAAAUCCUGGUAAGUUGCUUUAAUUGUGCUAACUGGAGUCAACGUUUGCCUUCUUAGUUAAGGGUGCAUUUAGUUUCAUACUUCUGCAGGCCUUACCAAUUGUGAAGCAGGCAAGACAGAGUUCUCAAAACCCAUGAAGCAGUUUGUAACCUCAAAACGCUUAGCAAACUUCCAUCUGACCUGCAUUUUCCCAGUAGUCUUUAGGGCUGUUUUUAUUUCUGAAAGAUUAAAGUCAUGUGAACCGAAAGGUACCACAGCUUUUAACUUCCCUUAAAAAAAUACUUGAUCCAAACACUUCUUUCUUUAGGCCAAAUUAUUAGAGCUCUUUUUACAAACAUCACGCAUAGUACUUACACAGCCAGCCAGAAGAAAACCCAGUCGCUGGGUGGGGCCCUAUAAGAGACAGGGCUAGGAAAACAUGCAGAUAUCUAAUCUGAGAAGGCUCAUUCCCUCAAGAGGGAUUACCAAACAAGAGGGAUUGCCAAGCAGUUACUGGCCAUGCCCCCAGGAUGCAAAGCAAGAUGGAGGCUGCAACCAAACCAUACAGACACGCAAAGCACACCAGAUUGGCCACAGCCCAAGACUAGCCCCACAAAUCCUUUUUCACAACCAAAACUUUACAAAGUGUACAAACAGUGAUAGUUGGAUAGUUGUGGGGGGAGCCUGGUUUAGUAAAAACAUCUUCUAAAAGGGGAAAAAAUACCUUUAAAGGUUAACUGCUGUUGGGUAGAAAAGGGAAAAGGGGAAGAAAAAAAAAGUUUAAAAAUGCCUGGGGAAGAACCUCUUAUUCUUAUGCAACUGGUUCCUCCACCAGAGGUAAAGCUUAAUUACUGUCCGAUAAAGCUAAACCCUUUGGCCAGGAAAGGGGAAGGCUGCGGUGGCUUGUGGUUGGGAACCAGCCAGCCAGCUGUGUGGGACCCUUGGGCCAUGCGUCCCAGCCCCAGCAGGGCAAGGAACUGCUGCUUAGCAAUGGGUCCCAAAAAAGGAAGGAAAAGGCCAUGAAAAGGCCCGGGAGCCACGGGGGUGGGGGCAUGGUUCCCCCACCCUCAGAAGUCCGAGGAUGUAAAGACUUAGAAACAACAGUGACAGAUUUUGAGCCCUCAUU